AUGAGAGUUUGAUCCUGGCUCAGGACGAACGCUGGCGGCGUGCCUAAUACAUGCAAGUCGAACGCUUCUUUCCUCCCGAGUGCUUGCACUCAAUUGGAAAGAGGAGUGGCGGACGGGUGAGUAACACGUGGGUAACCUACCCAUCAGAGGGGGAUAACACUUGGAAACAGGUGCUAAUACCGCAUAACAGUUUAUGCCGCAUGGCAUAAGAGUGAAAGGCGCUUUCGGGUGUCGCUGAUGGAUGGACCCGCGGUGCAUUAGCUAGUUGGUGAGGUAACGGCUCACCAAGGCCACGAUGCAUAGCCGACCUGAGAGGGUGAUCGGCCACACUGGGACUGAGACACGGCCCAGACUCCUACGGGAGGCAGCAGUAGGGAAUCUUCGGCAAUGGACGAAAGUCUGACCGAGCAACGCCGCGUGAGUGAAGAAGGUUUUCGGAUCGUAAAACUCUGUUGUUAGAGAAGAACAAGGACGUUAGUAACUGAACGUCCCCUGACGGUAUCUAACCAGAAAGCCACGGCUAACUACGUGCCAGCAGCCGCGGUAAUACGUAGGUGGCAAGCGUUGUCCGGAUUUAUUGGGCGUAAAGCGAGCGCAGGCGGUUUCUU
rnacentral:rRNA from 1 species